rnacentral:rRNA from 1 species
UACGUAGGGAGCAAGCGUUGUCCGGAAUCAUUGGGCGUAAAGCGCGCGUAGGUGGCUUCGUAAGUCCGUUGUGAAAGUCAAAGGCUCAACCUUUGAAAGCCGAUGGAUACUGCGGAGCUAGAGUACGGAAGAGGCGAGUGGAAUUCCUGGUGUAGCGGUGGAAUGCGCAGAUAUCAGGAGGAACACCAAUAGCGAAGGCAGCUCGCCGGGACGUUACUGACACUGAGGCGCGAAAGCGUGGGGAGCGAACAGG